GUUUCUUAGCACUAAAAUCUUUGGCUUUGUAACAUCUACAUGUCACUUUCACAUACAUAUCCCCAUUGGAUUUGAACUGUACGAUAGGUCCUUUUCUGGUCUUCCCAAAUUAAAUAAAAAAUAUUCUAUUUUUCACAUUUCUAGUGGCCAAUGAAUGAGAUGAUUUGAAGCCCGACAAAGGUUCUAUUCCGUGUCAACUUUUUUAACCUAAAACAUGCUUAUGCUUUAAAUGGUCCACAUAGACAAGAAGAUAAACAUGUCAGAGAAGACCAUUCACAAGCAACUUGUUUCUUGGUCCUCUUGAAAUUAUAUACAUUGAAACUAUUGGGCUGCAAAAUUUAAGUACUUGUGUACUAUCUUAUGCUUUUAGCUAAUUUUAAAUAAAUUGAAAAAAGACAACCUGAUAUAUAUGUGGGUUUGUCUUGGACUCGAAGCUAUAAUUGUCGAGUUUCUUAAGCACCUUUUAAAAGAAGGAAAGCUAUAAUUGUCAGGUUUCUUAUAGCACCUUUUCAGAGAAGGAAAAGAAGCCAUAAUUGUCAAGUUUCUCGAAUUUAUGAUUAUGGGACCACAAGUACCUCUUGCAAGUUUUUAAACUGCUGCAUUUAAGCCGAUAAAGAUGAUGAUCAAACUGCUCUUCAAUUUCUGAAACAAUAAAUACUACCAAAGCUUCGCACGUUGGCAUCAAAGAGUUUGGGGUCGAGCUAUACCCUCAUUUCGAAGUCGUGUAUUCAAGUUACUACAGAGCCAUAUAGGUGAUUAUCUGGUCCUGUAAAAGCAUGUGUUCUGUAAAUUACAUUGUUUUUUGAGUUCCUCCGGAAAAAGGAUGAAUUUUUACGGCCUGUUCUAUCUAUACUGAAGAUAAUACAUAUCAUAGAUGCUAGCUAUCCACUGUCUUGGAU
rnacentral:lncRNA from 1 species